AGCCUCGUAGCUCAGCUGGCAAAGCGUGCGCUGUACAAUAGCGUAGGUGGUGCCCAUGCGUGGGUUCGAACCCCACCGAGGCUA
rnacentral:tRNA from 1 species